rnacentral:snRNA from 1 species
CUCUCCUCUCUCUCUUCCU